rnacentral:rRNA from 1 species
ACUCCUACGGGAGGCAGCAGUGGGGAAUAUUGGACAAUGGGGGAAACCCUGAUCCAGCAAUGCCGCGUGGGUGAUGAAGGCCUUCGGGUUGUAAAGCCCUUUUGGCGGGGACGAUGAUGACGGUACCCGCAGAAGAAGCCCCGGCUAACUUCGUGCCAGCAGCCGCGGUAAUACGAAGGGGGCUAGCGUUGCUCGGAAUGACUGGGCGUAAAGGGCGCGUAGGCGGAUUGUAUAGUCAGGCGUGAAAUUCCUGGGCUCAACCUGGGGGCUGCGCUUGAUACGUAUAGUCUUGAGUGGGGAAGAGGGUCGUGGAAUUCCCAGUGUAGAGGUGAAAUUCGUAGAUAUUGGGAAGAACACCGGUGGCGAAGGCGGCUCUCUGGACCACAACUGACGCUGAGGCGCGAAAGCUAGGGGAGCAAACAGGAUUAGAUACCCUGGUAGUCCUAGCCCUAAACGAUGAUUGCUUGCUGUGAUCGGUACCCAAUCCGAUCGUGGCGAAGCUAACGCGAUAAGCAAUCCGCCUGGGGAGUACGGUCGCAAGAUUAAAACUUAAAGGAAUUGACG